AUACGUAGGUGGCAAGCGUUGUCCGGAUUUAUUGGGCGUAAAGCGAGCGCAGGCGGAAAAUAAGUCUAAUGUGAAAGCCCUCGGCUUAACCGAGGAACUGCAUCGGAAACUGUUUCUUGAGUGCAGAAGAGGAGAGUGGAACUCCAUGUGUAGCGGUGGAAUGCGUAGAUAUAUGGAAGAACACCAGUGGCGAAGGCGGCUCUCUGGUCUGCAACUGACGCUGAGGCUCGAAAGCAUGGGUAGC
rnacentral:rRNA from 1 species